UGAAGGUCUGGAAAAUGCCAUGCAUAAAUGGGCACAUUCAACCAGAACGGAGCCUAUUACAUUUUCUCCGCCUCGGUAUUUAAAAUAUAUAAUAGUUUCGAAAAUAAACUAUCUUCAUUUUGUCCCCUCACAAUGAUUAGACAGGUCGUAUUCAUUUGCUUACUAGCGACAACUAGCACCGGAUUUGUACAGGGCCAUAUAUACAAGCCGCUUUUUUGUGAGGAAACCAAUGCAAAUAUAACCAGAUCUUCGCUUCUCGCCUAUUGUGUGAAUCAGAACGAAUGCUUCAUUAACAGACCAGUAGGUCUUUGCCCCAAAGGUGAAGUGUGUUGCGUGAAAAAACAAGAUUUUAACAUUGACGAGGUUGAAUUUAUGGAGAAUUAAACUUGCUGGAAAGAAAUUAUAAAGCUCA
rnacentral:sRNA from 1 species